ACCCCUUUCACAGCACUCGCUGUGCCUGUAAGUGACCCAGCAAGCCCGUCUGGAAGGGGCAGAGCAAGCAACACCGCUCUUGGGUGAAGCGGCGGCAUGCUGUGCCGUCCGGCUUCAGUCGGUGGUGUGACAAUG